GACGAACGCUGGCGGCGUGCUUAACACAUGCAAGUCGAACGGAAAGGCCUGCUUUCCCUUGUGGAUUGCGGGUACUCGAGUGGCGAACGGGUGAGUAACACGUGAGUGAUCUGCCCCCAACUUGGGUAUAAGCCUGGGAAACUGGGUCUAAUUCCCGAUAGGACUGCAGGGUGGUGCCUGUGGUGGAAAACGAUUUUCUAGUGGUUGGGGAUGAGCUCGCGGCCUAUCAGCUUGUUGGUGGGGUAAUGGCCUACCAAGGCGGCGACGGGUAGCCGGCCUGAGAGGGUGGACGGCCACAUUGGGACUGAGAUACGGCCCAGACUCCUACGGGAGGCAGCAGUGGGGAAUAUUGCUCAAUGGGCGGAAGCCUGAUGCAGCGACGCCGCGUGGGGGAUGACGGCCUUCGGGUUGUAAACUCCUUUCGACCGCGAGGAAGCCACCUGGUUGGAAGGGUGGUGACGGUAGUGGUAGAAGAAGCACCGGCUAACUACGUG
rnacentral:rRNA from 1 species